rnacentral:rRNA from 1 species
GUGGGGAAUUUUGGACAAUGGGCGCAAGCCUGAUCCAGCAAUGCCGCGUGCAGGAAGAAGGCCUUCGGGUUGUAAACUGCUUUUGUACGGAACGAAACGGUCCUGGCUAAUAUCCGGGGCUAAUGACGGUACCGUAAGAAUAAGCACCGGCUAACUACGUGCCAGCAGCCGCGGUAAUACGUAGGGUGCGAGCGUUAAUCGGAAUUACUGGGCGUAAAGCGUGCGCAGGCGGUGCUGUAAGACAGGCGUGAAAUCCCCGGGCUCAACCUGGGAAUUGCGCUUGUGACUGCAGUGCUGGGGUGCGGCAGAGGGGGAUGGAAUUCCGCGUGUAGCGGUGAAAUGCGUAGAUAUGCGGAGGAACACCGAUGGCGAAGGCAAUCCCCUGGGCCUGCACUGACGCUCAUGCACGAAAGCGUGGGGAGCAAACAGGAUUAGAAACCCGUGUAGUCC